GAGUUUGAUCCUGGCUCAGGAUUAACGCUGGCGGCGUGCCUAAUACAUGCAAGUCGAACGGAAGUACCUUCGGGUACUUUAGUGGCGAACGGGUGAGUAAUACAUAGGUAACCUACCCUUAAGACGAGGAUAGCCAUUGGAAACGAUGGAUAAGACUGGAUAGGAUAUAGAGGAAGAAUCUUUUAUAUUUAAAAGAGAGAUCUGCUUAAGGAGGGGCCUGUGGCGCAUUAGCUAGUUGGUGGGGUAAGGGCCUACCAAGGCGAUGAUGCGUAGCCGGACUGAGAGGUUGAACGGCCACAAUGGAACUGAGAACGGUCCAUACUCCUACGGGAGGCAGCAGUAGGGAAUUUUCGGCAAAGGGGGGAACCCUGACCGAGCAACGCCGCGUGAACGAAAAAGGUAUUCGUAAUGUAAAGUUCUUUAUCAGGAAGAAAGAGGAAUUGAC
rnacentral:rRNA from 1 species